rnacentral:rRNA from 1 species
UACGAAGGGGGCUAGCGUUGCUCGGAAUCACUGGGCGUAAAGGGUGCGUAGGCGGGUCUUUAAGUCAGGGGUGAAAUCCUGGAGCUCAACUCCAGAACUGCCUUUGAUACUGAAGAUCUUGAGUUCGGGAGAGGUGAGUGGAAUUGCGAGUGUAGAGGUGAAAUUCGUAGAUAUUCGCAAGAACACCAGUGGCGAAGGCGGCUCACUGGCCCGAUACUGACGCUGAGGCACGAAAGCGUGGGGAGCAAACAGG